rnacentral:snRNA from 1 species
GGACAUGAGGGAAAUUGAGCUGUGACAUCUGGCACCUCAUUGAUCACCAGGUUUGAUUUUGGUGAUCUGGAUGGCUAAGCAGGUGUUCCCUGCCCCCUCACCACUCCAUGUGCAUCCCUCCCUAAGCUUUGAGGCUAUUUGCUUGGUUGAAGAGGAGGACCACCCCUGAUAGAGAAGGAGAAGCAUUUCCCAGUCAAGGGUAUACAAGUAGCUGUACUCCCCUGCUAGAACCUCCAAAUCAGCUCUCAAGGAAGCUGCACAAUUCAUAAGGAAGAGUGAGAUUUACAAAUCUGUCAACAAUACAGAAAUCAAUAAAUUCUGCAGAAAAUAAAAAUCU